AUCGAGAUGUCCACCGGGAGGGAGCAAUCAUGUGCCAUAUUCUUCCGCGGAGCUCUAGCGAGGUGGAAAACGAAAAGAGAAUUUGACAUUGGAUGUUUCCGGCGAUCUAUUCUUCGGCGGCGGGCUCCAUAUGCAGCAGUGGCAACGACGAUAGCGGCAGUGCUUCCAUCAAUGUUGCUGCCUCCUUCCUCUCUCUCUCUCUCUUUAUCUUUCUCUAUUUGGUUCUGUCUUUCCCCUUCUCCUUUUCUAUUGUUCUCUCUUUAUUUCUCUCUGUUUUGUACUCUCUAGAUGACGGGUGUUGGUGAUGAUUGGAGCAAAGGUAAAAAACGUUGUGAAUUUAAAUCCGGGUGAUGAACAAAUCGAAUCUUAAGUAUCGUGUGACUAGAUUUUUUUUUUUUUUGGGAAGUUUAGAGCACAUCGGUAGGUCAAUUUUAUGGUUAAAAAACUCAAAAUCCGAUCUUGGAAUUUGUUGAUUUGAUAGUCAUCUUUCACAUCUUUGGAUAAUACAUAAAGUUCCAACAACCAUGAAUAACUUUACUGUUUUCUCAAUAUAAAAAUUAAAAAGCGAAAAAUUAAUCAUUAUCUUAUUAUUAAUUAAUAAUGAUUGUGGUAUAAAUGUGAAAUUAGCAUUUUUCACGUUUAAUUUUCUGAAAAAUGUUUUUACUUUUUAUCAAUAAUUUACGUUAAUUUAGUAUGUUUUCUCUUUCUAGCUUCACUAUCUCCAAUUCUCGAUCUCUCCUGGCCCCUAGCGACUCUCCAAGCCCACACCUCCUCGUACUUCUCUGCUCUGCGAUUUGCCUUCCUUCACCGCCGAUGCUCAUUCCUCGAUGUGUCUCCGCUGGUUUCUCGUAGUUUCCGCCGUUGCCUCUGUUCGAGUUCUGCUCCUUCUGUUGUCACCUCAGAUCGAUCUGCCCGUUCUGCCUCCCUCUAGGCUCGGCACUGCCUGGCCUCUGGGCCCGACACGCACGGCCGUUCGUUUUCUUUUAUUUGACUUUUGUUUUUAAAAAAUAAUU